GAGGAUCUCUGUGGUGAUAGAAGGCAGGACCCGCUCAUCAUAGUCCUCGCCAAUGCUGGUGUAGAUACGAGGAAGCUGGCUGGCCACCGGCCGGAAGAGGAUUCGCAGUGUGAUAUUGACGUUCUGCAAGUCUUUGCUACCAGUGAUGACCGAGAACUUUGGUGUCAUCUGUGCUUUGUAUAACUUCGAGUGACUCCCCAGGUUUUAUCUGCAGAUCUCUCGCUCCCCACUUUUUAGAGGUUAAGGAGGACGCAACUUUAGUUGAAUAUAGAACUCGAAUUUCACCGUCGUACUGAAAAAGGAAUGGACCCCUCCCUUGGGAACACGUCUUUCUAUAUUUCACCUAUGAGAAAUUUCCAAACGAUGACUGGCCUAAGCCAAAUAUUGCCAAAUGGAAUUAGGAGCCCACAGGUGAGAGAUUUCAAACUUUAAGAAGAGCCUGCCUUUCUCGCUGUCAACUGCCUACCAAAGUACCAUGGGCGUUUUCCACAGGCCGUUUAGCACCCAGCCAUGCAUGAUUUGGACAGCCCUGGCGAGACCCUGCUGAUGAAAUCGGAAGAUGAUCCUUUACUUACUUCAGGCGGAAGACAGUAGCUCAGUGUCUUUCUUCUGAUGUCAAAUGUUGUUUUAGGGCCAAGGAGAUAGCUCAGUAUGAUUUAGUGUUUGCUGUGCAAGCACAGGAUCUGAGUUCAAAUCCCCAGUGACUACUUAAAAAGGGCAUGAAGGCAAUGUUACACAGCAUGUUCAGUUCACCCAGGGAGGUCAAGGAGAGGUGACAAGAUGGAUUAUUGGGUGAAGAAGCUUGCUGCCAGUGACAUCAAAAGUGCCCUGUAUCUUCAGUGAUGAGACUAUGCCAUUCUGUCUGUAAUGUUUAUAGCACUCUCUCUCCAUGCUUGGUUAUUCAUCCACAGGUAUGGUCUAUUCAUCCAACUAGAAGUUAUUUGUAAUAGAGACAAAACCCCAUGUAUGUAAUUCCUUUUGUAUUUUUGAGUAUAAACACAUAGUCGGGAGUCACUAAAUGUUGAAUAGGUCUAUGAAUGAGUAAAUGGUUUUCUGGGGGAAAGAAAGAGGAAAGUCAACCUCUGCUAGAGACAUCCACUCUUACUUUGAACCAUAGAGUUUUGCUAUACUAAAUUAUAUUAGGCAAAUUAUUGGAUCUAGAUCUAUAAUUUUCCUACCCUGGCAUAAAUAAGAAGCAUGCUUAGUAGACGGGCUCUAACAGUCUAGUAGAGGGAUUCUGCUUUCAAGUGGUCUUGGAUAAGCUCAGAGAUCUUGCUUAGAACACCAGAGAGUUCGUGUGCAAGUGACCUAUGGGCACUUUGUGUCCUAGGAGUGAACUUUGUUAGUUUGGUUUUAUUUUUAAAUUACGUAUUUUCCUCAAUUACAUUUCCAAUGCUAUCCCAAAAGCCCCCCAUACCCUCCCCUCCCACCCAUUCCCACUUUUUGGCCCUGGCGUUCCCCUGUAUUGGGGCAUAUAAAGUUUGCGUGUCCAAUGGGCCUCUCUUUCCAGUGAUGGCCGCUUAGGCCAUCUUUUGAUACAUAUGCAGCUAGAGUCAAGAGCUCCGGGGUACUGGUUAGUUCAUAAUGUUGUUGCACCUACAGGGUUGCAGAUCUCUUUAGCUCUUUGGAUACUUUCUCUAGCUCCUCCAUUGGGAGCCCUGUGAUCCAUCCAAUAGCUGACUGUGAGCAUCCACUUCUGUGUUUGCUAGACCCCGAGGAGUGAACUUUGUUGUCUCCUCUUGUGGACUGGAGAUCAUUCAGUCAGGUAACAGUAACAUUGCUAGUCAGAUAGAACUAUAAAUUAUGACAUAAAGACAAGUUUUAAGUAGGUUUUUCAAAAUAACUAAAAAACAAACAAACAAACAAAACAAAACAAAACAAAAAAGCUGGAAAUAACAUUCACCCAUUUUAUUUUACUGUACUGAGGAUAGCAGAUCUUAAAUUCUGAUUGGCAGCAUCAGCAUCAACUGAGAACCUAUGAGGACCAAAGCUCAGGCCUAUUGCAGACCCACUGAGUCAGACACGCAGAGUCUGAUCCCGCAGCUGCCUUCUGCAGGUUUUCACGAGUAAGAUGCACACUGAGAUCUGAGCAGCGGUUCUGUAGUCCAGCGUGAGGAUGUUCGGAUUCAAGCCUCUGGGGCUGGAGCAACUCCAUGAAGCGCUUGCCCUGCAAAAGUGACAACUGGCUGCCUGAACCCCACCACUGCCCGCUCUCCCUUCUUAGACAAUACCUAUUUUGACUCUUUAGUUUUCUUUCCAAUUUUUAUAAUUUAAUUUUACUUUUAGAAUUUCAUAUAUAAAUACUGUAUUUAAACUAUUUUUCAUCCCUCUCCAGCUUCUCCAAUAGCCUCCCCAUUUUAUGCAUUGUCAUUAUUAUCAGGUAUGCAUGAUGUGUGCACGGGAGGGUAGAGAAAACUUUCAGGACACAGUUUUCUCCUUCUAUCAUGAGAUCCGGGUACUAAACCCAAGUUCUCAGGCUUCUGUGGCAAGCCCUUUCCUCAUGGGUCUGUCUUACUAGUCCACACUUUUUGCUCUUAACCAUACAGUAUCAACUGUUUUCUGAUAUUUUUGGUUAGGAUUUCAUUCUCUGAGAGUUCCUCUAUCACUCCUUGCCCAUACUGCAAGGGGCAGGACAUUUAUGAACGUCUGUAAUUGAAGUAAGAGAAUGCAGAAAUUUUGAGGGACAGAAGCUCUUUUAGAAGGCUACAGGAUCAUCCUGUUAGAAACUGGAUGAAUGGGUUGCUGACAUGGGGGUGGCGGAGCUGAAGGGGAUGGUGAAGUCAGAUAACUAGGAGAGGUAUAUUCAAAGACUCGGGACCAGAAGGUAGCAUGUACCCUCUGAUGUAGACAUCAGUAUGAUAUGGCAGAAUAAAUGCUCUACCAUUUGUGUAACAGUUGACUAAAGACUGAAUCACAGCACCCUAGAGUUAAAAGGACUCAUCAAUUUGUUGUUCCAGUAGUUUUCAAUGAUGUUUGUUGUAAACAGUGCGAUUGUUUUUUUUUUUUUUUCUAGAGUCACUUACUUCUGCACUGGACUUUGAAAUACAGCGGAAGAAAAUAAUUUAGGGUUCAGGAUGAUAUAACACAGGCUAACCCUUAAAAGCAUCCUCCAUUCUUUCCAAAGAUAAGAGGUCCAAAGUCUGGCUAAGAGUAAUGGUUCACUCAGACACAAAGCUUAAAACCACAAGAUCUGGGAUAAGAACCUGUUUUUCUUAUUUAAGGUUGAAGAGGUUUCUUUGUUUGUUUGUUUAGCAUGCCAUGAAGCCAAAUAUGCUUUUUUCAAAAAUGCA